rnacentral:rRNA from 1 species
UGUUUCGGCUAGGGGGCCAUCCCGGCUUACCAACCCGAUGCAAACUGCGAAUACCGGAGAAUGUUAUCACGGGAGACACACGGCGGGUGCUAACGUCCGUCGUGAAGAGGGAAACAACCCAGACCGCCAGCUAAGGUCCCAAAGUCAUGGUUAAGUGGGAAACGAUGUGGGAAGGCCCAGACAGCCAGGAUGUUGGCUUAGAAGCAGCCAUCAUUUAAAGAAAGCGUAAUAGCUCACUGGUCGAGUCGGCCUGCGCGGAAGAUGUAACGGGGCUAAACCAUGCACCGAAGCUGCGGCAGCGACGCUGAUGCGUUGUUGGGUAGGGGAGCGUUCUGUAAGCCUGCGAAGGUGGCCUGUGAGGGUUGCUGGAGGUAUCAGAAGUGCGAAUGCUGACAUAAGUAACGAUAAAGCGGGUGAAAAGCCCGCUCGCCGGAAGACCAAGGGUUCCUGUCCAACGUUAAUCGGGGCAGGGUGAGUCGACCC